rnacentral:rRNA from 1 species
GUGCCAGCCGCCGCGGUAAAACGUAGGGGGCGAGCGUUAUCCGGAUUUACUGGGCGUAAAGCGCAUGUAGGCGGUUGGAUAAGUUAGACGUGAAAGCUCCCGGCUUAACUGGGAGAGGUCGUUUGAAACUGUUCGACUGGAGGUUGGAAGAGGAGAGUGGAAUUCCCGGUGUAGUGGUGGAAUGCGUAGAUAUCGGGAGGAACACCAGUGGCGAAAGCGGCUCUCUGGACCAAUUCUGACGCUGAGAUGCGAAAGCGUGGGGAGCAAACGGGAUUAGAAACCCCAGUAGUCC